AACGAACGUUGGCGGCGUGGAUGAGGCAUGCAAGUCGAACGUGAAAGCCGCAAGGUGAGUAGCGUGGCGGACGGGCGAGUAACACGUAAUCAAGCUGCCUGCGAGACGGGGAUAACCUCGGGAAACCGAGGCUAAGACCCGAUGGUCUUUUUGCUUCGCAUGGAGUGGAAAGUAAAUGGGCGGGAUCCUUUGGGACCGCCUGCUUGCAGAGGUGAUUGCGGUCCAUCAGCUAGUUGGUAGGGUAAUGGCCUACCAAGGCGACGACGGGUAGCCGGCCUUAGAGGGUGGUCGGCCGCACUGGGACUGAGACACUGCCCAGACUCCUACGGGAGGCUGCAGUCGAGAAUCUUCCGCAAUGGGCGAAAGCCUGACGGAGCGACGCCGCGUGGAGGACGAAGGCCCUUGGGUUGUAAACUCCUGUCACGAGUUAAGAAGGGGUCACUACGAACAGUGGUGAUCUUUGACGUAAGCUCGAGAGGAAGCACUGGCUAACUCUGUG
rnacentral:rRNA from 1 species